UACGGGGGGAGCAAGCGUUGUUCGGAUUUACUGGGCGUAAAGAGCGCGCAGGCGGUCGAUCAAGUCGAGUGUGAAAGCCCCCGGCUCAACUGGGGAGGGUCAUUCGAUACUGAUCGACUCGAAGGCAGGAGAGGGUAGUGGAAUUCCCGGUGUAGUGGUGAAAUGCGUAGAUAUCGGGAGGAACACCAAUAGCGAAGGCAGCUCGCUGGGACGUUACUGACACUGAGACGCGAAAGCGUGGGGAGCAAACAGG
rnacentral:rRNA from 1 species